ensembl:lncRNA
GAACUGGACUCAGAGUCUGGAUGUAAAAAAUUCAUCUGUUGUCAUGACUGUACUCCUAUCCUAAACUGUGCCUGAUUUUCCCUGAACAAUGUCUGUUUUACUGUAGUAGAGAACAAAUUUCCCCUCUUCUGCCAGCCAAUGCAGAAGGUAUUGCUUCUGCCAGGAGAGGUAGAGGCAUCUAGCUGCUAGAUUAGGGGGUAGAAUUUAGGCACUAACAGCUCCUGGGACAAACUUUCAGUGACUGCUCCUCUCUGUAGCUUCGCCUCCACGUCAGAGGCUGAGGUCAGAGGCUUCAGGUGCCACUGAUACUUAAACGAGACUAUCAAGUAUUAACAGAUGUGGGAUCAGUUGGGCUGUUCCUGAGCUUUCUUUACCACUGCUUUGGGAUCCAGCAUGCAAAAGUUUGGCUUUCUGCUGCUGCUGCUGCUGCUAAGUCCCUUCAGUUGUGUCCAACUCUGUGUGACCCCGUGGACUGCAGCCUACCAGGCUUCUCCGUCCAUGGGAUUCUCCAGGUCCUGCCACCGAUUGCCCAGGUUAUGUCCAAAAAUUUGCCAAGAAGAGUCCAUACCAUUGGGGCACUGGUUCAGGAGUGUUUGUCUCCACAUUUGCAACCCCAAGGAAGUUAGAUGUUCAAGCUGGUUUUAGAAAAGGCAGAGGAACCAGAGAUCAAAUUGCCAACAGCCACUGGAUCAUGGAAAAAGCAAGAGUUCCAGAAAAACAUCUAUUUCUGCUUUAUUGACUAUGCCAAAGCCUUUGACUGUGUGGAUCACAAUCAACUGUGGAAAAUUCUGAAAGAGAUGGGAAUACCAGACCACCUGAUCUGCCUCCUGAGAAACCUGUAUGCAGGUCAGGAAGCAACAGUUAGAACUGGACAUGGAACAACAGACUGGUUCCAAAUAGGAAAAGGAGUUCGUCAAGGCUGUAUAUUGUCACCCUGCUUAUUUAACUUAUAUGCAUAGUACAUCAUGAGAAAUUCUGGGCUGGAAGAAGCACAAGCUGGAAUCAAGAUUGCCGGGAGAAAUAUCAAUAACCUCAGCUAUGCAGAUGACACCACCCUUAUGGCAGAAAGUGAAGAGGAACUAAAAAGCCUCUUGAUGAAAGUGAAAGAGGAGAGGGAAAAAGUUGGCUUAAAGCUCAACAUUCAGAGAACGAAGAUCAUGGCAUCUGGUCCCAUCACUUCAUGGG